AUACUUACCUGGCAGAGGAGAUACCAUGAUCACGAAGAUGGUUUUCCCAGGGCGAGGCUCAUCCAUUGCACUCUGGAUGUGCUGACCCCUGCGAUUUCCCCAAAUGUGGGAAACUCGAAUGCAUAAUUUGUGGUAGUGGGGGACUGCGUUCGCGCUUUCCCCUU
rnacentral:snRNA from 1 species